UACGGUAGGGGGCUAGCGUUGUCCGGAUUUAUUGGGCGUAAAGAGCGUGUAGGCGGCCAGGUAGGUCUGGUGUGAAAACUCGAGGCUCAACCUCGAGACGUCGGCGGAAACCAUCUGGCUAGAGUCCGGAAGAGGAGAGUGGAAUUCCUGGUGUAGCGGUGAAAUGCGCAGAUAUCAGGAAGAACACCCGUGGCGAAGGCGGCUCUCUGGGACGGUACUGACGCUGAGACGCGAAAGCGUGGGGAGCGAACAGG
rnacentral:rRNA from 1 species